rnacentral:rRNA from 1 species
GUAAGGAAUAUUGGUCAAUGGACGCAAGUCUGAACCAGCCAUGCCGCGUGGAGGAUGAAGGCCCUCUGGGUUGUAAACUUCUUUUAUGGGGGACGAAAUCACUUAUUCUUAAGUGUCUGACGGUACCCCAGGAAUAAGCACCGGCUAACUCCGUGCCAGCAGCCGCGGUAAUACGGAGGGUGCAAGCGUUAUCCGGAUUCACUGGGUUUAAAGGGUGCGUAGGAGGGCGGAUAAGUCAGUGGUGAAAUCUUCGAGCUUAACUCGGAAACUGCCGUUGAUACUAUUUGUCUUGAAUAUCGUGGAGGUGAGCGGAAUAUGUCAUGUAGCGGUGAAAUGCUUAGAUAUGACAUAGAACACCAAUUGCGAAGGCAGCUCGCUACACGAAUAUUGACUCUGAGGCACGAAAGCGUGGGGAUCAAACAGGAUUAGAAACCCUAGUAGUCC